GUCCAGACUCCUACGGGAGGCAGCAGUGGGGAAUAUUGCACAAUGGGGGAAACCCUGAUGCAGCAACGCCGCGUGAGUGAGGAAGUAUUUCGGUAUGUAAAGCUCUAUCAGCAGGGAAUAGAAAAGAAGGUACCUGAAAAAGAAGCCCCGGCUAACUACGUGCCAGCAGCCGCGGCAAUACGUAGGGGGCGAGCGUUAUCCGGAUUCACUGGGUGUAAAGGGAGCGUAGACGGCCAUGCAAGCCAGGGGUGAAAGCCCGGGGCCCAACCCCGGGACUGCUCUUGGAACUGCGCGGCUGGAGUGCAGGAGGGGCAGGCGGAAUUCCUGGUGUAGCGGUGAAAUGCGUAGAUAUCAGGAGGAACACCGGUGGCGAAGGCGGCCUUCCGGCGCCCUACUGACGCUGAGGCACGAAAGUGCGGGGAUCGAACAGGAUUAGAUACCCCAGUAC
rnacentral:rRNA from 1 species